UCCUUUCUUAGUCUUUUCGUUUGC
rnacentral:siRNA from 1 species